AGAGUUUGAUCAUGGCUCAGGACGAACGCUGGCGGCGUGCUUAACACAUGCAAGUGGAGCGACGAACCAGGCUUCGGCCUGGGGCAGAGCCGCGAACGGGUGAGUAACACGUGGGUAACCUGCCUCGAUGACCGGGACAACCCGGGGAAACCCGGGCUAAUACCGGAUGUGCUCUCUUCACAUCAGUGAAGAGAGGAAAGGAAGCUUCGGCCUCCGCAUUGGGAUGGGCCCGCGGCGCAUUAGCUAGUUGGUGGGGUAACGGCCUACCAAGGCGACGAUGCGUAGCUGGUCUGAGAGGACGAUCAGCCACACUGGGACUGAGACACGGCCCAGACUCCUACGGGAGGCAGCAGUGGGGAAUCUUGCACAAUGCACGAAAGUGUGAUGCAGCAACGCCGCGUGCAGGAAGACGGCCUUCGGGUUGUAAACUGCUUUCAGUUGGGACGAGGCUCACGCGGUUAAUAGCCGUGCGGAGUGACGGUACCUUCAGAAGAAGCCCCGGCUAACUACGUGCCAGCAGCCGCGGUAAUACGUAGGGGGCAAGCGUUGUCCGGAAUCAUUGGGCGUAAAGCGCGUGUAGGCGGCUUGGUAAGUCCGUUCUGAAAGCCCGGGGCUCAACCCCGGGAGGCGGAUGGAUACUGUCAAGCUCGAGUCCGGAAGAGGUGGGUGGAAUUCCUGGUGUAGCGGUGAAAUGCGCAGAUAUCAGGAGGAACACCAAUGGCGAAGGCAGCCCACUGGGACGUGACUGACGCUGAGACGCGAAAGCGUGGGGAGCAAACAGGAUUAGAUACCCCGGUAGUCC
rnacentral:rRNA from 1 species